CGGUUGAUCCUGCCGGACCCUACUGCUAUCGGGGUGGGACUAAGACAUGCGUGUCGAACGACCCCAAGCCAACAUGAGGUCGUGGCAUACGGCUCAGUAACACGUGGCUAACCUACCCUCGAGACAGGGACAACCCCGGGAAACUGGGGCUAAUCCCAGAUAGAUGAGAACCCCUGGAAUGGGUUUUCGUCCAAAAGGCACUGCGGUUAUGCUCUGUGGUGUCGCUCAAGGAUGGGGCCGCGUCCGAUCAGGCUGUUGGUGAGGCAAUGGCUCACCAAACCUAUAACCGGUACGGGCCGUGGGAGCGGGAGCCCGGAGAUGGGAACUGAGACAAGGGCCCAGGUCCUACGGGGCGCAGCAGUCGCGCAAACUUUGCAAUACACGAAAGUGUGACAGGGCUAUCCCGAGUGCCGUCCGCUGAGGAUGGCUUUUACUCAGUCUAGAAAGCUGGGAGAAUAAGGAGAGGGCAAGUCUGGUGUCAGCCGCCGCGGUAAUACCAGCUCUCCGAGUGGUGUGGAUGUUUAUUGGGCCUAAAGCAUCCGUAGCUGGCCAGGCCAGUCCCCUGUUAAACCCAACGAAUUAAUCGUUGGUUUGCGGGGGAUACUGCCCGGCUAGGGGACGAGAGAGGCCGACGGUAUUUUCGGGGUAGGGGUGAAAUCCUAUAAUCCCGGGAAGACCACCAGUGGCGAAGGCUGUCGGCUAGAACGCGCCCGACGGUGAGGGAUGAAAGCUGGGGGAGCGAACCGGAUUAGAUACCCGGGUAGUCCCAGCUGUAAACGAUGCAGGCUAGGUGUUUGGGCGGCCACGUGCCGCUCUAGUGCCGCAGGGAAGCUGUUAAGCCUGCCGCCUGGGGAGUACGGUCGCAAGAUUGAAACUUAAAGGAAUUGGCGGGGGAGCACCACAAGGGGUGAAGCUUGCGGUUUGAUUGGAGUCAACGCCGGGAACCUUACCGGGCGCGACAGCAGGAUGAAAGCCAGAUUGAAGGUCUUGCUGGACGAGCUGAGAGGAGGUGCAUGGCCGUCGCCAGUUCGUGCCGUGAGGUGUCCUGUUAAGUCAGGCAACGAUCGAGACCCACACCCUCUGUUGCUUCCGAGGAGUUUUUCCGAGGGGCACUCUGAGGGGACUGCCGCCGAUAAGGUGGAGGAAGGAGUGGGCCACGGCAGGUCAGUAUGCCCCGAAUCCCCCGGGCCACACGCGAGCUGCAAUGGCUGGGACAGUGGGUUCCGACCCCGAGAGGGGGAGGUAAUCCCGAAACCCGGCCUCAGUUGGGAUCGAGGGCUGUAACCCGCCCUCGUGAACAUGGAAUCCCUAGUAAUCGCGCGUCAUCAUCGCGCAGUGAAUACGUCCCCGCUCCUUGCACACACCGCCCGUCGCUCCAUCCAAGUUGAGUUUAGAUGAGGCGCAGUCUAAUUUGGCUGCAUCGAGUCUAGGCCCGAUGAGGGGGGAGAAGUCGUAACAAGGUAGCC
rnacentral:rRNA from 1 species